GACCAGACUCCUACGGGAGGCAGCAGUGGGGAAUAUUGCACAAUGGGGGAAACCCUGAUGCAGCGACGCCGCGUGAGCGAUGAAGUAUUUCGGUAUGUAAAGCUCUAUCAGCAGGGAAGAAAGAAAUGACGGUACCUGACUAAGAAGCCCCGGCUAACUACGUGCCAGCAGCCGCGGUAAUACGUAGGGGGCAAGCGUUAUCCGGAUUUACUGGGUGUAAAGGGAGCGUAGACGGCAUUGCAAGUCCGGAGUGAAAGCCCACGGCCCAACCGUGGGACUGCUCUGGAAACUGUAGAGCUGGAGUGCGGGAGGGGCAGGCGGAAUUCCUAGUGUAGCGGUGAAAUGCGUAGAUAUUAGGAGGAACACCAGUGGCGAAGGCGGCUUACUGGACUGUAACUGACGUUGAGGCUCGAAAGCGUGGGGAGCAAACAGGAUUAGAUACCCCUGUA
rnacentral:rRNA from 1 species